rnacentral:rRNA from 1 species
AUUGAACGCUGGCGGCAUGCCUUACACAUGCAAGUCGAACGGUAGAGUAGCAAUACUUGAGAGUGGCGAACGGGUGAGUAAUAUAUCGGAACGUGCCCAGUCGUGGGGGAUAACGUAGAGAAAUUUACGCUAAUACCGCAUACGAUCUAAGGAUGAAAGCGGGGGAUUCGCAAGAACCUCGCGCGAUUGGAGCGGCUGAUAUCAGAUUAGGUUGUUGGUGAGGUAAAAGCUCACCAAGCCGACGAUCUGUAGCUGGUUUGAGAGAACGACCAGCCACACUGGGACUGAGACACGGCCCAGACUCCUACGGGAGGCAGCAGUGGGGAAUUUUUGGACAAUGGGCGAAAGCCUGAUCCAGCAAUGCCGCGUGCAGGAAGAAGGCCU